ACACACCGCCCGUCACACCAUGGGAGUGGGUUGCACCAGAAGUAGCUAGUCUAACCUUCGGGAGGACGGUUACCA
rnacentral:tRNA from 1 species